GGUUUGGUCGCCCGACGAGGGCGCCAAGAGGGAAGCCGGUGAGAGUCCGGCGCAGUCCCGCUGCUGUAAGCUCAGUAGUUGAUACCCAAAGAAGUAAGUCACUGUGCAUCGCCAUAGGUGCAUGGGAAGACGGGGUGGAAACGAGCAAGCCAGAAGACCUGCCAAACCGUA
rnacentral:ncRNA from 1 species